AUUGAACUCUGGCGGCAGGCUUAACACAUGCAAGUCGAGCGAGCGGCGGCCGGUUGAGUAAUUUCUCGGAAACUGCCUGAUGGAGGGGGAUAACUACUGGAAACGGUAGCUAAUACCGCAUACCAUCAGAUGUGCCCAGUUGGGAUUAGCUAGUAGGUUGGGUAAUGGCUCACCUAGGCGACGAUCCCUAGCUGGUCUGAGAGGAUGACCAGGAUCACUGGAACUGAGAACCGGUCCAGACUCCUACGGGAGGCAGCAGUGGGGAAUAUUGCACAAAUGGCGCAAGCCUGGUGAAGGCAUGCCGCGUGUGUGAAGAAGGCCUUCGGGUUGUAAAGCACUUUCAGCGAGGGGGCGUUACUCGCAGAAGAAGCACCGGCUAACUCCGUGCCAGCAGCCGCGGUAAUUC
rnacentral:rRNA from 1 species